rnacentral:rRNA from 1 species
UACGGGGGGGGCAAGCGUUGUUCGGAAUUACUGGGCGUAAAGGGCUCGUAGGCGGCCAACUAAGUCAGACGUGAAAUCCCUCGGCUUAACCGGGGAACUGCGUCUGAUACUGGAUGGCUUGAGUUUGGGAGAGGGAUGCGGAAUUCCAGGUGUAGCGGUGAAAUGCGUAGAUAUCUGGAGGAACACCAAUGGCGAAGGCAGCUCGCUGGGACGGUACUGACGCUAAGGCGCGAAAGCGUGGGGAGCAAACAGG